rnacentral:rRNA from 1 species
CAGCAGCCGCGGUAAUACGUAGGGUGCAAGCGUUAAUCGGAAUUACUGGGCGUAAAGCGUGCGCAGGCGGUUUGUUAAGACAGAUGUGAGAUCCCCGGGCUCAACCUGGGAACUGCAUUUGUGACUGGCAAGCUAGAGUGUGGCAGAGGGGGGUGGAAUUCCGCGUGUAGCAGUGAAAUGCGUAGAUAUGCGGAGGAACACCGAUGGCGAAGGCAGCCCCCUGGGCCAACACUGACGCUCAUGCACGAAAGCGUGGGGAGCAAACAGGAUUAGAUACCCGCGUAGUCCCUGUCUCUUAUAC